UACGUAGGUGACAAGCGUUGUCCGGAUUUACUGGGCGUAAAGAGCGCGCAGGCGGUCGAUCAAGUCGAGUGUGAAAGCCCCCGGCUCAACUGGGGAGGGUCAUUCGAAACUGGUCGACUCGAAGGCAGGAGAGGGUAGUGGAAUUCCCGGUGUAGUGGUGAAAUGCGUAGAUAUCGGGAGGAACACCAGUGGCGAAGGCGACUACCUGGCCUGUUCUUGACGCCGAGGCGCGAAAGCUAGGGGAGCAAACGGG
rnacentral:rRNA from 1 species